AGCCAAGUGGUAGGGCCCUUGCCUGGCAUGCAGGAGACCCUGGGUUCAGUCCCCAG
rnacentral:tRNA from 1 species